CCUACGGGGUGCAGCAGUGGGGGAUAUUGCACAAUGGGGGGAACCCUGAUGCAGCGACGCCGCGUGAGUGAAGAAGUAAUUCGUUAUGUAAAGCUCUAUCAGCAGGGAAGAAUAAAUGACUGUACCUGAGUAAGAAGCUCCGGCUAACUACGUUCCAGCAGCCGCGGUAAUACGUAGGGGGCAAGCGUUAAUCGGAUAUACGGGGUGGAAAGGGGGCGUAGACGGCGAUGCAAGGUAGAUGGGAAAGCCCGCGGCUCAACUGCGGGAGUGCAUUAGGAACUGGAUGGCUGGAGUGCAGGAGAGGCAGGCGGAAUUACAAGUGUAGCGGUGAAAUGCGUAGAGAUAAGGAGGAAAACCAGUGGCGAAGGCGGCCUGCUGGACUGAAACUGACGUUGAGGCUCGAAAGCGUGGGGAGCAAACAGGAUUAGAUACCCCUGUAGUC
rnacentral:rRNA from 1 species